GGAUGUGAUCAUACCAGCACUAACGCAUCGGAUUUCAUCAGAACUCCGAAAUUAAGUGUGCUUCAGCGAGAGUAUUAUUAGGAUGCAUGGGUGGCCCCUGGGAAAUCCGAUAGUGGUACAAUCU
rnacentral:rRNA from 1 species